CACAUGCAAGUCGAGGGGCAGCAUGGUCUUAGCUUGCUAAGGCCGAUGGCGACCGGCGCACGGGUGAGUAACACGUAUCCAACCUGCCGUCUACUCUUGGACAGCCUUCUGAAAGGAAGAUUAAUACAAGAUGGCAUCAUGAGUCCGCAUGUUCACAUGAUUAAAGGUAUUCCGGUAGACGAUGGGGAUGCGUUCCAUUAGAUAGUAGGCGGGGUAACGGCCCACCUAGUCUUCGAUGGAUAGGGGUUCUGAGAGGAAGGUCCCCCACAUUGGAACUGAGACACGGUCCAAACUCCUACGGGAGGCAGCAGUGAGGAAUAUUGGUCAAUGGGCGCAGGCCUGAACCAGCCAAGUAGCGUGAAGGAUGACUGCCCUAUGGGUUGUAAACUUCUUUUAUAAAGGAAUAAAGUCGGGUAUGUAUACCCGUUUGCAUGUACUUUAUGAAUAAGGAUCGGCUAACUCCGUGCCAGCAGCCGCGGUAAUACGGAGGAUCCGAGCGUUAUCCGGAUUUAUUGGGUUUAAAGGGAGCGUAGAUGGAUGUUUAAGUCAGUUGUGAAAGUUUGCGGCUCAACCGUAAAAUUGCAGUUGAUACUGGAUAUCUUGAGUGCAGUUGAGGCAGGCGGAAUUCGUGGUGUAGCGGUGAAAUGCUUAGAUAUCACGAAGAACUCCGAUUGCGAAGGCAGCCUGCUAAGCUGCAACUGACAUUGAGGCUCGAAAGUGUGGGUAUCAAACAGGAUUAGAUACCCUGGUAGUCCACACGGUAAACGAUGAAUACUCGCUGUUUGCGAUAUACAGCAAGCGGCCAAGCGAAAGCGUUAAGUAUUCCACCUGGGGAGUACGCCGGCAACGGUGAAACUCAGAGGAAUUGACGGGGGCCCGCACAAGCGGAGGAACAUGUGGUUUAAUUCGAUGAUACGCGAGGAACCUUACCCGGGCUUAAAU
rnacentral:rRNA from 1 species